AUUGAGAAGCUCCCAGCUGUCAGUGCGACGCCAUGUUUCCAAGGCCAACUUGCGGCUCCCAGCAUGCACCGCGGGUCCGAAUAAAAGCUGUCAAAGAUUCAUGAGCCGAUUUCGGUUUCUUAAUGACAAAUCAAUUUUAAGAAAAUGUACGGAAAAUUCCCAGGACAAAACUAAUCACUAUCGAAGCUCGAACAAAAACAAAAAAAUGUUUGUCAUAAUAUAUUCAAUAAAAAAAGCAUUGUUUUCA